rnacentral:lncRNA from 1 species
GGAAGUGGCGCGCGCGGGGCCUGUGGCGGCGGUGGGGCCGGGCCGGGCGGCCGCGCUUCGACACCGGCGCAGACUAAAAGUA